rnacentral:misc_RNA from 1 species
GAAAACCGAUUACCUCUAUUGCAUUGGCAGUUGUAACUACAAUAAUAUUGGACUUUGGUCCAAUAAAAAUAGCCAUAGUAUACUAGGACUACUUCACAAAAAUUAAAGAAAAUUGUGUACACACGGUUUAUGUGUUAUUACGAGUAGCAUUACGUGAUAAUAGGACGCCAUAAGCUUAGUACUUUUUGAAUAAAAACUGUAUAACUAUAGCUACUCUAACA